GGUUAAGCGACUAAGCGUACACGGUGGAUGCCCUGGCAGUCAGAGGCGAUGAAGGACGUGCUAAUCUGCGAAAAGCGUCGGUAAGGUGAUAUGAACCGUUAUAACCGGCGAUGUCCGAAUGGGGAAACCCAGUGCAAUUCGUUGCACUAUCGUUAACUGAAUACAUAGGUUAACGAGGCGAACCGGGGGAACUGAAACAUCUAAGUACCCCGAGGAAAAGAAAUCAACCGAGAUUCCCCCAGUAGCGGCGAGCGAACGGGGAGCAGCCCAGAGUCUGAAUCAGCUUGUGUGUUAGUGGAACGGUCUGGAAAGUCCGACGGUACAGGGUGAUAGUCCCGUACACCAAAAUGCACAGGUUGUGAACUCGAAGAGUAGGGCGGGACACGUGGUAUCCUGUCUGAAUAUGGGGGGACCAUCCUCCAAGGCUAAAUACUCCUGACUGACCGAUAGUGAACCAGUACCGUGAGGGAAAGGCGAAAAGAACCCCGGCGAGGGGAGUGAAAAAGAACCUGAAACCGUGUACGUACAAGCAGUGGGAGCCUCUUUAUGGGGUGACUGCGUACCUUUUGUAUAAUGGGUCAGCGACUUAUAUUCUGUAGCAAGGUUAACCGUAUAGGGGAGCCGCAGGGAAACCGAGUCUUAACUGGGCGUUAAGUUGCAGGGUAUAGACCCGAAACCCGGUGAUCUAGCCAUGGGCAGGUUGAAGGUUGGGUAACACUAACUGGAGGACCGAACCGACUAAUGUUGAAAAAUUAGCGGAUGACUUGUGGCUGGGGGUGAAAGGCCAAUCAAACCGGGAGAUAGCUGGUUCUCCCCGAAAGCUAUUUAGGUAGCGCCUCGUGAAUUCAUCUUCGGGGGUAGAGCACUGUUUCGGCUAGGGGGUCAUCCCGACUUACCAACCCGAUGCAAACUACGAAUACCGAAGAAUGUUAUCACGGGAGACACACGGCGGGUGCUAACGUCCGUCGUGAAGAGGGAAACAACCCAGACCGCCAGCUAAGGUCCCAAAGUCAUGGUUAAGUGGGAAACGAUGUGGGAAGGCACAGACAGCCAGGAUGUUGGCUUAGAAGCAGCCAUCAUUUAAAGAAAGCGUAAUAGCUCACUGGUCGAGUCGGCCUGCGCGGAAGAUGUAACGGGGCUAAACCAUGCACCGAAGCUGCGGCAGCGACACUAUGUGUUGUUGGGUAGGGGAGCGUUCUGUAAGCCUGCGAAGGUGACCUGUGAGGGUUGCUGGAGGUAUCAGAAGUGCGAAUGCUGACAUAAGUAACGAUAAAGCGGGUGAAAAGCCCGCUCGCCGGAAGACCAAGGGUUCCUGUCCAACGUUAAUCGGGGCAGGGUGAGUCGACCCCUAAGGCGAGGCCGAAAGGCGUAGUCGAUGGGAAACAGGUUAAUAUUCCUGUACUUGGUGUUACUGCGAAGGGGGGACGGAGAAGGCUAUGUUAGCCGGGCGACGGUUGUCCCGGUUUAAGCAUGUAGGCGGAGGUUCCAGGUAAAUCCGGUACCUUUUAACGCUGAGGUGUGAUGACGAGGCACUACGGUGCUGAAGUAACAAAUGCCCUGCUUCCAGGAAAAGCCUCUAAGCAUCAGGUAACAUUAAAUCGUACCCCAAACCGACACAGGUGGUCAGGUAGAGAAUACCAAGGCGCUUGAGAGAACUCGGGUGAAGGAACUAGGCAAAAUGGUGCCGUAACUUCGGGAGAAGGCACGCUGAUAUGUAGGUGAAGCCCCUGCGGGUGGAGCUGAAAUCAGUCGAAGAUACCAGCUGGCUGCAACUGUUUAUUAAAAACACAGCACUGUGCAAACACGAAAGUGGACGUAUACGGUGUGACGCCUGCCCGGUGCCGGAAGGUUAAUUGAUGGGGUUAUCCGUAAGGAGAAGCUCUUGAUCGAAGCCCCGGUAAACGGCGGCCGUAACUAUAACGGUCCUAAGGUAGCGAAAUUCCUUGUCGGGUAAGUUCCGACCUGCACGAAUGGCGUAAUGAUGGCCAGGCUGUCUCCACCCGAGACUCAGUGAAAUUGAACUCGCUGUGAAGAUGCAGUGUACCCGCGGCAAGACGGAAAGACCCCGUGAACCUUUACUAUAGCUUGACACUGAACAUUGAGCCUUGAUGUGUAGGAUAGGUGGGAGGCUUUGAAGCGUGGACGCCAGUCUGCGUGGAGCCAACCUUGAAAUACCACCCUUUAAUGUUUGAUGUUCUAACGUAGACCCCUAAUCGGGGUUGCGGACAGUGUCUGGUGGGUAGUUUGACUGGGGCGGUCUCCUCCCAAAGAGUAACGGAGGAGCACGAAGGUUAGCUAAUCCUGGUCGGACAUCAGGAGGUUAGUGCAAUGGCAUAAGCUAGCUUGACUGCGAGCGUGACGGCGCGAGCAGGUGCGAAAGCAGGUCAUAGUGAUCCGGUGGUUCUGAAUGGAAGGGCCAUCGCUCAACGGAUAAAAGGUACUCCGGGGAUAACAGGCUGAUACCGCCCAAGAGUUCAUAUCGACGGCGGUGUUUGGCACCUCGAUGUCGGCUCAUCACAUCCUGGGGCUGAAGUAGGUCCCAAGGGUAUGGCUGUUCGCCAUUUAAAGUGGUACGCGAGCUGGGUUUAGAACGUCGUGAGACAGUUCGGUCCCUAUCUGCCGUGGGCGCUGGAGAAUUGAGGGGGGCUGCUCCUAGUACGAGAGGACCGGAGUGGACGCAUCACUGGUGUUCGGGUUGUCAUGCCAAUGGCAUUGCCCGGUAGCUAAAUGCGGAAGAGAUAAGUGCUGAAAGCAUCUAAGCACGAAACUUGCCCCGAGAUGAGUUCUCCCUGAGACUAUAAGUCUCCUGAAGGAACGUUGAAGACGACGACGUUGAUAGGCCGGGUGUGUAAGCGCAGCGAUGCGUUGAGCUAACCGGUACUAAUGAACCGUGAGGCUUAACCUU
rnacentral:rRNA from 1 species